rnacentral:rRNA from 1 species
UACGAAGGGGGCUAGCGUUGCUCGGAAUCACUGGGCGUAAAGGGUGCGUAGGCGGGUCUUUAAGUCAGGGGUGAAAUCCUGGAGCUCAACUCCAGAACUGCCUUUGAUACUGAAGAUCUUGAGUUCGGGAGAGGUGAGUGGAACUGCGAGUGUAGAGGUGAAAUUCGUAGAUAUUAGGAAGAACACCGGUGGCGAAGGCGGCCCACUGGUCCGGUACUGACGCUGAGGUGCGAAAGCGUGGGGAGCAAACAGG